UGGCCAGACUCCUACGGGAGGCAGCAGUGAGGAAUAUUGGUCAAUGGGCGUAAGCCUGAACCAGCCAAGUCGCGUGAGGGACGACGGCCCUACGGGUUGUAAACCUCUUUUGUCGGGGAGCAAAAGACGCCACGCGUGGCGUUCCGAGAGUACCCGAAGAAAAAGCAUCGGCUAACUCCGUGCCAGCAGCCGCGGUAAUACGGAGGAUGCGAGCGUUAUCCGGAUUUAUUGGGUUUAAAGGGUGCGCAGGCGGAAUGUCAAGUCAGCGGUAAAAUUUCGGGGCUCAACCCCGUCGUGCCGUUGAAACUGGCGUUCUUGAGUGAGCGAGAAGUAUGCGGAAUGCGUGGUGUAGCGGUGAAAUGCAUAGAUAUCACGCAGAACUCCGAUUGCGAAGGCAGCAUACCGGCGCUCAACUGACGCUCAUGCACGAAAGCGUGGGUAUCGAACAGGAUUAGAUACCCGAGUAA
rnacentral:rRNA from 1 species